rnacentral:tRNA from 1 species
UUUGAUAACUAUGUNGGGGUUACGUUUCGGCCGUAAUUGUGGAGUAUUUAUUUGCUUCUAUCAAAG